UACGGGGGGGGCAAGCGUUGUUCGGAAUUACUGGGCGUAAAGGGCUUGUAGGCGGCCAACUAAGUCAGACGUGAAAUCCCUCGGCUUAACCGGGGAACUGCGUCUGAUACUGGAUGGCUUGAGUUCGGGAGAGGGAUGCGGAAUUCCAGGUGUAGCGGUGAAAUGCGUAGAUAUCUGGAGGAACACCGGUGGCGAAGGCGGCAUCCUGGACCACGACUGACGCUGAGUGAGCGAAAGCCAGGGGAGCAAACGGG
rnacentral:rRNA from 1 species